rnacentral:rRNA from 1 species
UUGAACGCUGGCGGCAGGCCUAACACAUGCCAGUCGAGCGGAUGAAGGGAGCUUGCUCCUGGAUUCAGCGGCGGACGGGGGAGUAAUGCCUAGGAAUCUGCCUGGUAGUGGGGGAUAGCGUCCGGAAACGGGCGCUAAUACCGCAUACGUCCUGAGGGAGAAAGUGGGGGAUCUUCGGACCUCACGCUAUCAGAUGAGCCUAGGUCGGAUUAGCUAGUUGGUGGGGUAAAGGCCUACCAAGGCGACGAUCCGUAACUGGUCUGAGAGGAUGAUCAGUCACACUGGAACUGAGACACGGUCCAGACUCCUACGGGAGGCAGCAGUGGGGAAUAUUGGACAAUGGGCGAAAGCCUGAUCCAGCCAUGCCGCGUGUGUGAAGAAGGUCUUCGGAUUGUAAAGCACUUUAAGUUGGGAGGAAGGGCAGUAAGUUAAUACCUUGCUGUUUUGACGUUACCAACAGAAUAAGCACCGGCUAACUUCGUG